rnacentral:rRNA from 1 species
GACGUAGGGCGCGAGCGUUGUCCGGAUUUAUUGGGCGUAAAGGGCUCGUAGGCGGUUUGUCGCGUCGGGAGUGAAAACCUUGGGCUUAACUCAGGGCUUGCUUUCGAUACGGGCAGACUAGAGGUAUGCAGGGGAGAACGGAAUUCCUGGUGUAGCGGUGAAAUGCGCAGAUAUCAGGAGGAACACCGGUGGCGAAGGCGGGUCUCUGGGCAACAACUGACGCUGAGGAGCGAAAGCGUGGGGAGCGAACAGG